AAAGAUUUAGUUUAAGAAAAACAAAAAACUGCAAAUUUUUAGAUUUAUUUAAGAUAAAGUCUUGU
rnacentral:tRNA from 1 species